GCCAAGCAUGGUGGCACAUGCCUAUAGUACCAGUGACUCAGGAAGCUGAGGCAGGAGGAUCACUGGAGUCCAGGAAUUCUAGAUCAGCCUGGGCAACAUGGUGAGACCCCAUCCCAA
rnacentral:sRNA from 1 species